rnacentral:rRNA from 11 species
UGCUACUUGGAUAACCGUAGUAAUUCUAGAGCUAAUACAUGCGUCAAGGCCCGACUUCGGAAGGGCUGCGUUUAUUAGAUACAGAACCAACCUAGGCUCCGCCUAGUCCUUGUUGGUGAUUCAUAAUAACCCGGCGAAUCGCACGGCUUGUCCGGCGAUGGACCAUUCAAGUUUCUGACCUAUCAGCUAUGGACGGUAGGGUAUUGGCCUACCGUGGCGUUGACGGGUAACGGGGAAUUAGGGUUCGAUUCCGGAGAGGGAGCCUGAGAAACGGCUACCA